rnacentral:rRNA from 1 species
UACGUAGGUGACCAGCGUUGUUCGGAUUUACUGGGCGUAAAGGGCGCGUAGGCGGCCACCGCAAGUCGGUUGUGAAAUCUCUGGACUUAACCCAGAAAGGUCAACCGAUACUGCGGGGCUAGAGUGCAGAAGGGGCAACUGGAAUUCUCGGUGUAGCGGUGAAAUGCGUAGAUAUCGAGAGGAACACCUGCGGCGAAGGCGGGUUGCUGGGCUGACACUGACGCUGAAGCGCGAAAGCUAGGGGAGCGAACGGG